UACAGAGGGGGCAAGCGUUAUUCGGAAUUAUUGGGCGUAAAGGGCGCGUAGGCGGCAUGGCAAGUGGAUGGUGAAAUCCCUCGGCUUAACCGAGGAACUGCCGUCCAAACUGCUUCGCUUGAGAUCGGGAGAGGUGAGUGGAAUUCCCAGUGUAGCGGUGAAAUGCGUAGAUAUUGGGAGGAACACCAGUGGCGAAGGCGGCUCACUGGACCGGUACUGACGCUGAAGCGCGAAAGCGUGGGGAGCAAACGGG
rnacentral:rRNA from 1 species